GCAUAUUUGAGUUCCCAGUAGUCUUAGGAGAAGGUAGCGGUGAGGAUGGCCUCUUGUUGCUGCUGAUGCAGGGUCCCGAUGCCGACAGCGGGGGCGGGCAGAGCGGGCCGGCUCACUAACCGGAGCUGGGGGGGACAGAGUGGCCAGCUGCUUCUCAAACCUGGGAGCUACAAAAGACCAGGGACCCAUGUUCUGAGGCUCCUCCUGACUCCAGAUGAACUCUGUGAAGUGAAAACUGAUGAGAACACACUGAAAAACACUGAGAAUCCCGUCCUCUUUUCCUGAGUGAGCUCAGACCAAACGUGACUGUAGUGAUAACAUUUCCUCCUUUUCUUGACCUGUCAUGGUGAUCUCAAGUGAAACACUGCAUAAAGGUUUUGUUCCACAAAAGAAAAAAACAGAAACACCACUGGUUCAAGAUUCUUAUAUAAAUGUUAUAAGCUAUAAGCUGUCUAUAAUGUCUAAAGGUGUUCUUACAUUAUUAUCUUAAGCUCUGGAAAAUUAGGAGGGAUUUUUUUCAACAUUAAAUAAACAAGAUUGAUUGGCCCAUUAUGAGCAGAUUAAUUGAUAAUGAA